rnacentral:rRNA from 1 species
UACGUAGGGCGCAAGCGUUGUCCGGAAUUAUUGGGCGGAAAGAGCUCGUAGGCGGUUUGUCGCGUCUGCUGUGAAAUCCCGAGGCUCAACCUCGGGCUUGCAGUGGGUACGGGCAGACUAGAGUGCGGUAGGGGAGACUGGAAUUCCUGGUGUAGCGGUGGAAUGCGCAGAUAUCAGGAGGAACACCGAUGGCGAAGGCAGGUCUCUGGGCCGCAACUGACGCUGAGGAGCGAAAGCAUGGGGAGCGAACAGG